GGAGAUGUACCCAAGUGGCUGAAGGGUCCGCACUCGAAAUGCGGUAGGCCGGCCUAAACCGGCGCGAGGGUUCAAAUCCCUCCAUCUCCG
rnacentral:tRNA from 1 species